rnacentral:rRNA from 1 species
GACGGUAACAGCCCGGUAGUUGAAAUGGCUUUCCCUCCAGAGUGGAUCCUGAGUACGGCGGAACACGUGAAAUUCCGUCGGAAUCCGGGAGGACCAUCUCCCAAGGCUAAAUACUCCCUAGUGACCGAUAGUGAACCAGUACCGUGAGGGAAAGGUGAAAAGCACCCCGGAAGGGGAGUGAAACAGUUCCUGAAACCGUGUGCCUACAAGUAGUUAGAGCCCGUUAAUGGGUGAUAGCGUGCCUUUUGUAGAAUGAACCGGCGAGUUACGAUUUGUUGCAAGGUUAAGCGGAAAAAGCGGAGCCGUAGCGAAAGCGAGUCUGAAUAGGGCGCAUAAGUAACAGGUCGUAGACCCGAAACCAGGUGAUCUACCCAUGUCCAGGAUGAAGGUAAGGUAAUACUUACUGGAGGUCCGAACCCACGCACGUUGAAAAGUGCGGGGAUGAGGUGUGGGUAGCGGAGAAAUUCCAAUCGAACUUGGAGAUAGCUGGUUCUCUCCGAAAUAGCUUUAGGGCUAGCCUCGAGGUAAAGAGUCAUGGAGGUAGAGCACUGUUUGGACUAGGGGCCCUUCUCGGGUUACCGAAUUCAGAUAAACUCCGAAUGCCAUGUACUUAUACUCGGGAGUCAGACUGCGAGUGAUAAGAUCCGUAGUCGAAAGGGAAACAGCCCAGACCACCAGUUAAGGUCCCCAAAUAUAUGUUAAGUGGAAAAGGAUGUGGGGUUGCUUAGACAACCAGGAUGUUGGCUUAGAAGCAGCCACCAUUGAAAGAGUGCGUAAUAGCUCACUGGUCGAGUGACCCCGCGCCGAAAAUGUACCGGGGCUAAACAUAUUACCGAAACUGUGGAUGAACCUCUUUAGAGGUUCGUGGUAGGAGAGCGUUCUAAGGGCGGUGAAGUCAGACCGGAAGGACUGGUGGAGCGCUUAGAAGUGAGAAUGCCGGUAUGAGUAGCGAAAGAAGGGUGAGAAUCCCUUCCACCGAAUAUCUAAGGUUUCCUGAGGAAGGCUCGUCCGCUCAGGGUUAGUCGGGACCUAAGCCGAGGCCGAUAGGCGUAGGCGAUGGACAACAGGUAGAGAUUCCUGUACCAGUGCUAAUUGUUUAACCGAUGGGGUGACACAGAAGGAUAGGGAAUCGCACGAAUGGAAAUGUGCGUCCAAGCAGUGAGUGUGAGAAGUAGGCAAAUCCGCUUCUCGCGAAGCAUGAGCUGUGAUGGGGAAGGAAAUUAAGUACGGAAGUUCCUGAUUUCACGCUGUCAAGAAAAGCCUCUAGGAAGAGUAGUACUGCCCGUACCGCAAACCGACACAGGUAGAUGAGGAGAGAAUCCUAAGGUGAGCGAGAGAACUCUCGUUAAGGAACUCGGCAAAAUGACCCCGUAACUUCGGGAGAAGGGGUGCUCUAUUAGGGUGCAAGCCCGAGAGAGCCGCAGUGAAUAGGCCCAGGCGACUGUUUAGCAAAAACACAGGUCUCUGCAAAACCGUAAGGUGACGUAUAGGGGCUGACGCCUGCCCGGUGCUGGAAGGUUAAGAGGAGUGCUUAGCUUCGGCGAAGGUACGAAUUGAAGCCCCAGUAAACGGCGGCCGUAACUAUAACGGUCCUAAGGUAGCGAAAUUCCUUGUCGGGUAAGUUCCGACCCGCACGAAAGGCGCAACGAUCUGGGCACUGUCUCAACGAGAGACUCGGUGAAAUUAUAGU